rnacentral:rRNA from 1 species
AUGGUAUGCUGUGCUGGUAAGUUUUUAUGUAAUUCUGUCAUUUUCUUUCUUGUGUGCCUGAUAAAUUUACUGUAUGUCAGUGUGGUAACUUUCAUAGUUUUUCGUGGUCCAUUCGGUGAACUUCAAUUUCUUUUUGUUUUCAACUUGCAUCCUGACAUCGAUGGUAUUAAAAAUCUCAAUUGGUCCAAAUUCAUUGCUGAUGAACUACACAAGGCGGUGUUGAAACGCAAGCCUACCAGGGGUUGCCUUCUCUUCUACAAUGUAAGUGAUGAUGCUUUCCUCUUACCUUCUCUUUUGUCAUUUGUCAUUUUUUGUCAUUUUGUGUCUUAUUUUUGUUAA